GCUCAGGAUGAACGCUGGCGGCGUGCCUAAUACAUGCAAGUCGAGCGAAUGGAUURAGAGCUUGCUCUCAAGAAGUUAGCGGCGGACGGGUGAGUAACACGUGGGUAACCUGCCCAUAAGACUGGGAUAACUCCGGGAAACCGGGGCUAAUACCGGAUAAYAUUUUGAACUGCAUGGUUCGAAAUUGAAAGGCGGCUUCGGCUGUCACUUAUGGAUGGACCCGCGUCGCAUUAGCUAGUUGGUGAGGUAACGGCUCACCAAGGCAACGAUGCGUAGCCGACCUGAGAGGGUGAUCGGCCACACUGGGACUGAGACACGGCCCAGACUCCUACGGGAGGCAGCAGUAGGGAAUCUUCCGCAAUGGACGAAAGUCUGACGGAGCAACGCCGCGUGAGUGAUGAAGGCUUUCGGGUCGUAAAACUCUGUUGUUAGGGAAGAACAAGUGCUAGUUGAAUAAGCUGGCACCUGA
rnacentral:rRNA from 1 species